CGGAAUUACUGGGCGUAAAGCGCGCGUAGGUGGUUCAGUCAGUCAGAUGUGAAAGCCCCGGGCUUAACCUGGGAAUUGCACCUGAUACUGCUGAGCUAGAGUACAGUAGAGGGGAGUGGAAUUUCCUGUGUAGCGGUGAAAUGCGUAGAUAUAGGAAGGAACACCAGUGGCGAAGGCGACUCUCUGGACUGAUACUGACACUGAGGUGCGAAAGCGUGGGGAGCAAACAGGAUUAGAUACCCUCGUAGUCGUCAGUAC
rnacentral:rRNA from 1 species